rnacentral:rRNA from 1 species
AACGAACGCUGGCGGCGCGCCUAACACAUGCAAGUCGAACGAGAAUCCGGGGCAACCCGGUAGUAAAGUGGCAAACGGGUGAGGAAUACAUGGGUAACCUACCCUUGAGAAGGGAAUAACCCGCCGAAAGGUGAGCUAAUACCCUAUACGCUAUCUUUUUUUCGAAAGGAAUAGGAAAGCCGGGUCGAGGACCUGGUACUCAAGGAGGGGCGUCAUGUCCUAUCAGCUUGUUGGUGGGGUAACGGCCUACCAAGGCUACGACGGGUAGCUGGUCUGAGAGGAUGAUCAGCCACACUGGCACUGAGAUACGGGCCAGACUCCUACGGGAGGCAGCAGUGAGGAAUAUUGCGCAAUGGGCGAAAGCCUGACGCAGCGACGCCGCGUGGGGGAGUGAAGGUUUUCGG